UACGAGUGCCCCAAGCGUUAUCCGGAAUCAUUGGGCGUAAAGGGUGUGUAGGCGGUUUGGUUAGUCUUCUGUUAAAACUUCGGGCUCAACUCGAAAUCUGCAGGGGAAACGGCCAGACUGGAGGGUGCGAGAGGUGAAUGGAACUCAGUGGAGUAGGGGUGAAAUCCGUUGAUAUCAUGGGGAACACCAAAAGCGAAGGCAAUUCACUGGCGCAUUUCUGACGCUGAAACACGAAAGCGUGGGUAGCGAACGGG
rnacentral:rRNA from 1 species